rnacentral:rRNA from 1 species
AUUGAACGCUGGCGGCAGGCCUAACACAUGCAAGUCGAACGAGUGGCGGACGGGUGAGUAAUGUCUGUGAACCUGCUUGCUGGAGGGGGAUAACUACUGGAAACGGUAGCUAAUACCGCAUACCAUCGGUUGUGCGCAGAUGGGAUUAGCUAGUAGGUGGGGUAAAGGCUCACCUAGGCCACGAUCCCUCGCUGGUCUGAGAGGAUGACCAGCCACACUGGAACUGAGACACGGUCCAGACUCCUACGGGAGGCAGCAGUGGGGAAUAUUGCACAAUGGGCGCGAGCCUGAUGCAGCCAUGCCGCGUGUAUGAAGAAGGCCUUCGGGUUGUAAAGUACUUUCGGCGGGGAGGCGUUACCCGAAGAAGAAGCACCGGCUAACUCCGUGCCAGCAGCCGCGGUAAUAC